UACGUAGGGGGCAAGCGUUGUCCGGAAUUAUUGGGCGUAAAGAGCGUGUAGGCGGUCCGGUAAGUCAGCUGUGAAAGUCAAGGGCUCAACCCUUGAAAGCCGGUUGAUACUGUCGGGCUAGAGUCCGGAAGAGGCGAGUGGAAUUCCCGGUGUAGCGGUGAAAUGCGCAGAUACCGGGAGGAACACCAAUGGCGAAGGCAGCUCGCUGGGACGGUACUGACGCUGAGGCGCGAAAGCGUGGGGAGCGAACAGG
rnacentral:rRNA from 1 species